rnacentral:rRNA from 1 species
UACGUAGGGUGCAAGCGUUAUCCGGAAUUAUUGGGCGUAAAGAACUCGUAGGCGGUCUGUCGCGUCUGCUGUGAAAACUGGGGGCUCAACCCCCAGCCUGCAGUGGGUACGGGCAGACUAGAGUGCGGUAGGGGAGAUUGGAACUCCUGGUGUAGCGGUGGAAUGCGCAGAUAUCAGGAGGAACACCAAUGGCGAAGGCAGAUCUCUGGGCCGUAACUGACGCUGAGGAGCGAAAGCAUGGGGAGCGAACAGG